rnacentral:tRNA from 1 species
UUAGAUUUAGGUUAAUUUAAACUAUUAGUUUUCAAAACUAGAGAUUUUGUCUAAG